rnacentral:lncRNA from 1 species
CUUGAAAGAGCAGAAAGAGAAAUAAUUACAAGAAUGGCCUGUAACUCAAAUCCUUGAAGGGAUGAGAGGAAUAUUGUUCUGUAAAUAUGCACUGGCAGCAGCAACUCCACUUCCAUACUUUAUUGGGUAACCCACAUCUUUCAGUAUCAUCUCCACACCAGCAAGACAUCCCAAGAGUUGCAACUGCAAAAAUAUUUAAAGAAUUAACAAUUUCAAUGGUGGAAGCUUUAUAAUUUGAUAUUACAUUAGAAUAAACAUAAUCUAGCAUACUUGAAAGAAGUGGACAUUGAUGCUAUUCUCAUCUUAAGUAUGAAGCACGGACACGAACACAAAUACCAUAUACAGAUAGAGCUACAUACAAAUACGGCAAUGACACAUAGGCACUAGUAAUAAUUUAAGAAAAUAAAAGUGAUUGAAUGUAACCAUAUUGUCAGUGUCGUGUCGGACACUCGACACACUUAAAUUUGAAGUGUUAGUGCCACAUGACAUCAUACUAUUGAAGUAGGACAAAAAUACAUCUUAAAAAAUAGAUGAUAAAGAGUUUUAAAGGAUAAUACAUAGCAACCAUGAGUAGUAAAGAACACAUUUAUGAAUUCUUUAACAUGUUAUCUUAAGAUACAGAUAAAGAAAAACAAUAAUUGGUAUAUUUCCUAUCUAAUAAAUACAUUUUCUUUUGCAAUUGCACGAGUCAAAAAUUAUAAAUAUUUAGUAUUGAUUAUCCAAUGAUCACUUUUCUUUGAUAUAAACCUUGAAUUAAAAUUCAAAUUUCAUUACACUACAGCAAACAUAACCUAGACAUAUCUGAAAGACCCUAAAAGGUAAACCUACUAAAUAAGCUAUGAAACACUAACAUAGACAAUAAACACUGGCAUGAAGAUAAUGAUAAUAAUUUGCACAAAUAGAGGUGAUUGUGUGUAAUUAUAUGUGUUAGGGUCAAACACCGGAUAUAGUUUCAAUAUGAAGUGACAGUGCUAUACAACUAAAUAAUAGUUUGGGAAAUCAACAUUAUACCUCAUUGAGGUUGCCAAGAUGGCCAAUUCUGAAAACCUUGCCAGCAACUUUGUUUAGUCCCAAACCUAAGCUCAAAUUGUAUCUCUUCCAUGCCCUUCUAACAAUUUCAGCACUAUCAAUGUAAGGAGGAACGACAACAGCAGUCACUGUGUCACUGUA